GACACGGUAGCUCAGAUGGCUAGAGCGGGCGACUCAUAAUCGCCAGGUCGAGGGUUCGAUCCCCCCCCGUGUCA
rnacentral:tRNA from 1 species